AGAAAUAUUCCUCAGCGAUUUACGAAAAUAGUGCUCUACAUCUUUUAACUCUUAUUAACAGGAAAAAAUGACAAUUUAUACACCUGCACAAAUUCAAGAAAUUACUGCACCUAUUAAAUUAGUAGAACGAUAUAUAACGCAUCCACCUGAAACUGAUACAACAUCCUGUGUUCUAAGUAUUUUUUAAAAAUUUUUCAAAAAUAAGUUUAAACACUCUCCUAUUCUCAACAGAUCUUAUGAGAAAUAUGUUAUAAAUUAAGUACAUAAAUGUAAAGGCGGUUUUAUGUAUUACUGCAUAAUAAAAGAAAUUAAGGCCCUUCGAAUUAAUUAAU